CAGCCGCCGCGGUAAAACGAGGGGGGCAAGCGUUGUUCGGAAUUAUUGGGCGUAAAGGGCGCGUAGGCGGUUUGGCAAGUUUGGUGUGAAAUCUUCGGGCUCAACUCGAAGUCUGCACCGAAAACUGCCGGGCUUGAGUAUGGGAGAGGUGAGUGGAAUUUCCGGUGUAGCGGUGAAAUGCGUAGAUAUCGGAAGGAACACCUGUGGCGAAAGCGGCUCACUGGACCAUUACUGACGCUGAGGCGCGAAAGCUAGGGGAGCAAACAGGAUUAGAGACCCCCGUAGUCCCUGUCUCUUAUAA
rnacentral:rRNA from 1 species